UUUGGAGGUAAAGAAGUUCACCAAUUCUUUCCUGUUUUCCAACUUGACAUUAGUUAAACUGGAGAUUCUGUUGAGAGUAAAGAUGGGGCAAACAAUUUCUCUAAAAAUGCACGGAACAUUCUAGUUGAAUUCUCACUGAGAGGGGAGAAUUUUACAGAGCAGAGAUUUGUCCAUCAUUGUAAGAAUUUCACCAAGUUGUGAAAUUUUGAUAAGCUCCUUGCUCCCAUUACUGCGAACCGGGGUGGGAAAAAAAGAAACAUUGGAGUGAGGUUCAAAUUCUCAGCGCAAAUGUGCAAUAGAGGAGGAAAAAGGAGAAGUUUUCAAAGAACCUCCCCCUAGUUUAUACAAAGAUGAAGUACUGUUUAGUUCCAGUGAUUAAAGAGAAACAACACGGUCAGCUGGAAGCAUUAGCAUCAGAAUCCAAUAAAAAAGAGUGAUUUUAAUGCAAGUUUUAAGUACAAUAAAACUAUUUUAUACCAGCAUCUUGUGGUGAUACUUUUUCCAUUAUAGUGCUAGUCUACUGAGCAAGAUUGUCAUUUUCUGGUAAAUGUGCUCUUCUAGAGCUUGUGAAAUUUCAGUUGCACUGCAUUAUCAUUCAUCAUAGUUUAAGGCAUUGGUAUAUGCAGCAACGACCUUCACUCUCCUAUGGACCCCCACCUCUGGAUCUCACCAGCUUCUAGCUCCAGCCUCCAUGAUCUCGAUUCCGUGGAGCUCCCCUCGUCUCCCUCCAAGCUAGACUUGACAGCCAACCGUUAGUCGGCAUUAGACCGUGUAUUUCCCAGAUGUCGAAUCUCAAGAAGUUUUCUCUUCGCCAGAACCUCAUUACUGACGCCGCCCUCGAGUCUCUCUUGUCGUGGCACAUCAUUUCCGAACUCGAAGUACUCAAAACCUAGUGUGUUAUAAAUUCCUUGAUUUUCUCUCGUUCUUUUGCAUAUUAUUUGAUUUCUGGUGUUUUUAUUUAAAAUCUUAUAAAUUUAUCAUUUGAAAUGAAUUUAUUACCUUGCUGUGCUUUGGUACAAUUGGUGUUUAGAGUGUUAAGUUGUUAUAAAUGAACUCUAAAAGAUCUUUAAAUUUUAAUUUUGAGAUAAAGAUAUUGGUUUUAUAGUAUUUAGUUGCAUAUAUAACAGCUAAUCAACAAUGAAGAAGCUAUUAAGUAAAACCAUAGUUAUCCUGUUAAUGCAUAUCUAUUUGAAGUAUGGGACACAGAAUGAAGGAUGAAGAAUGGAUAAUCUGAUGCAAUAUAGUUGGGAUUGUCUCUUCCAGGAACUAGUGCUCACUGAAGAAAAUUCUGGAUGUUAGCAUAUUUAAGAGACUUAUGGUGUUUGAUGUUUCAUUUAAUAAAAUUACAGCCACAGAAUCCUACAGUAUCCUCUGAGGAUCUUGGAAGUAGUGUUUCAGAGCCAUCAUUGACCAGUUGACCACAGGCGAUGCACUGGACAAGUACUGAAUUAUUUUGAAGAAGGUUCAGUAAGCUUUCUACCAUUUUCUUGUCUUACGUGUUUCCUGUAACACUGCACAUGCACAAACUUGGCAUACUUUAAAGAAAAGCAAGAACGGUAAAAUUGCUUUAACCUUUUCUCUUCUGUUUAAUUUGAUCAUUUCUAGUAUAACUCAGCUUGAAAAUCCCGGUGACUUGUGGAGCUAAGGAAACAGAAAUUCAGGUCAUUUACUCUGAUGAGGAGCAGAAGUUCAACAAACACUUCUUAUACAGAGUGAACUACAGAGCCUUGCAGAGUAUAAUAUAUAUUGGAGCUGCAAAAUCUUGUGGAUGCAUUGGGAAAGGACAGUGCAUGGUAUACGUUAUGGGCAGGUUGCUUGGUUAAGUUGUUAUAGUGUCUAGCUGUUUCUACUUUAAUCAUUGGCAGCUGUUAUGGGGUUCUGCUCGCUAGUCGCGGAAAUAGUUGUGGUGUUGCCGAAGUUUGGCAGAAAGGCAUGUUUGCUUAGCCCGAGUCAUACUGCUCGUUGCUGAAAGGUGGUACGGGACUUGGAGUUUACUUCUGGUUUUGUAUUCCUUUAGUUUCUGUAGUUAGUUGUAGUUUGCCUUAUUUAUUUUGUAGAUCUUGGCCUUUUUUUGUAAUUUAUUUCAAUCUUUUGUAUUGGCAUUUGGUUUAAUAUGGUCAUUUGCCUUGCAACCA